rnacentral:rRNA from 1 species
UACAGAGGUCUCAACCGUUGUUCGGAUUCAUUGGGCGUAAAGGGUGCGUAGGCGGUCGCGCAAGUCGGAUGUGAAAUCUUAGGGCUCAACCCUGAAACUGCAUUCGAUACUGCGUGGCUCGAGUACUGGAGAGGAGACUGGAAUUUACGGUGUAGCAGUGAAAUGCGUAGAUAUCGUAAGGAAGACCAGUGGCGAAGGCGAGUCUCUGGACAGUUACUGACGCUGAGGCACGAAAGCGUGGGGAGCAAACAGG